UACGUAGGGGGCAAGCGUUGUCCGGAAUCACUGGGCGUAAAGCGCGCGCAGGCGGUCAUCUACGUCUGGGGUGAAGGCCCGGAGCUCAACUCCGGGAUUGCCUUGGAUACGGGAUGACUUGAGGAUCGGAGAGGCAAGGGGAAUUCCACGUGUAGCGGUGAAAUGCGUAGAGAUGUGGAGGAACACCUGUGGCGAAGGCGCCUUGCUGGCCGAUUUCUGACGCUGAGGCGCGAAAGCGUGGGGAGCAAACAGG
rnacentral:rRNA from 1 species